rnacentral:rRNA from 1 species
GACGUAGGGCGCGAGCGUUGUCCGGAUUUAUUGGGCGUAAAGAGCUCGUAGGCGGCUUGUCGCGUCGUUCGUGAAAACCCGGGGCUCAACUCCGGGCUUGCGGGCGAUACGGGCAGGCUAGAGUUCGGUAGGGGAGACUGGAAUUCCUGGUGUAGCGGUGAAAUGCGCAGAUAUCAGGAGGAACACCGGUGGCGAAGGCGGGUCUCUGGGCCGAUACUGACGCUGAGGAGCGAAAGCGUGGGGGAGCGAACAGG